rnacentral:rRNA from 1 species
CCUACGGGUGGCAGCAGUGAGGAAUAUUGGUCAAUGGACGCAAGUCUGAACCAGCCAAGCCGCGUGAAGGAUGACUGCCCUAUGGGUUGUAAACUUCUUUUAUAUGGGAAUAAAGUUGAGUAUGUAUACUGUUUUGUAUGUAUCUUAUGAAUCAGGAUCGGCUAACUCCGUUCCAUCAGCCGCGGUAAUACGGAGGGUACGAGCGUUAUCCGGAUUUAUUGGGUUUAAAGGGAGCGUAGGCGGGCGCGUAAGUCAGUUGUGAAAAUCUGCGGCUCAACCGUAGAAUUGCAUUUGAUAGUGGGGGUCUUGAGAGCAGGAGAGGGAGGCGGAAUGCAUGGUGUAGCGGUGAAAUGCUUAGAUAUAACGAAGAACACCGAUUGCGAAGGCAGCUUACUGGACUGUAACUGACGCUGAGGCACGAAAGUGUGGGGAGCAAACAGGAUUAGAUACCCCUGUAGUC